GUCUAUGGCCAUACCACCCUGAACGUGCCUGAUCUCAGAAGCUAAGCAGGGUUGGGCCUGGUUAGUACUUCAAUAGGAGACCGCCUAGGAAUACAGGCUGCUGUAGGCU
rnacentral:rRNA from 1 species